rnacentral:rRNA from 1 species
GACGAACGCUGGCGGCGUGCCUAAUACAUGCAAGUAGAACGCUGAAGAGAGGAGCUUGCUCUUCUUGGAUGAGUUGCGAACGGGUGAGUAACGCGUAGGUAACCUGCCUUGUGGCGGGGGAUAACUAUUGGAAACGAUAGCUAAUACCGCAUAACAAUGGAUGACACAUGUCAUUUAUUUGAAAGGGGCAAUUGCUCCACUACAAGAUGGACCUGCGUUGUAUUAGCUAGUAGGAGAGGUAAUGGCUCACCUAGGCGACGAUACAUAGCCGACCUGAGAGGGUGAUCGGCCACACUGGGACUGAGACACGGCCCAGACUCCUACGGGAGGCAGCAGUAGGGAAUCUUCGGCAAUGGGGGCAACCCUGACCGAGCAACGCCGCGUGAGUGAAGAAGGUUUUCGGAUCGUAAAGCUCUGUUGUAAGUCAAGAACGGGUGUGAGAGUGGAAAGUUCACACUGUGACGGUAGCUUACCAGAAAGGGACGGCUAACUACGUG